rfam:Asian citrus Psyllid, Diaphorina citri - Florida Strain, whole genome shotgun sequence.
GCUAGCGGCGAUAGCUCAUCAAUACACCAAUUCCCCAUGGAUCACUGAAGUUAAGCUACGUUGCACGUGAUUGGUAUCCGGAUACCCGAUCUAGACAAUCGCGUUCUGCUGGCA